GCUGUGGGAUGGUGGGCCAUGGCCAUUUUCGUAAUGCUUAGCUCUGCCAGUGGUUGCUAGCAUGCCAUAAUAUCGUGCUUCCCUUCUCUAUAAUCAUGCUCGUUUCAUGCAUUGCUUCACAUCACCAAAUUAUUGGUUCGACUGAGGUAUCAGGUAUGCAACUUUUAGACAAUGGAAGGCCUGUAUCUAAAGUUCUAAAGAAACACAUUAUGUGAGUUAACUAUGUAUUUGAUGAAUUUUCGUGUAAGCUUGGUAGUUCAGAAAAAUAUUUUGUUUCUUAUAUCAUGUGGUCAACACAAUGGAGAAACAGAAGAGAACAUUUAUCGUUUAGUUUAGUAAUAUCAUCUUUUAGGUUUUGUAAUUUUAUGUGUGUAGAAUGUUCCUAUAUUAAAUUUAUCAUUUUCAUAAAUAUACUAUGACUCUAAAUGUAGUUAAAGUUAUAGGUUUUCUUGGCCUAAUUCCAUCGCAUCAUUAACUGUUUGGUGUAUCCGCAGAAGCAUAAGGAUAAUUUUCCAAUAAAUCACUAGGCAUGUACUUCCAGGAAUUUGCAGGGAAUUUUACAUGAUUUUCGGCACAAAUCUGAAUUUGUCCAGAUCCCGACUCCUCAUGUCCUUCACACUCCUUGGAUUCACUGGAGUCUGGACACCGGAGGUGUGCAAAAGCCCCGGUGUCAGUUUGUUCAAAGAUGGAGUCAG
rnacentral:lncRNA from 1 species